CAUUGUUCAAAGCCAAAAUGGGGACUGGAGAUAAUUUCAGUAGUUUAGAAUGCAAUGCUUGCUGCAGCCAGAAAACGACAUCCCUCUGUGGACUCUGUUUCAGUUUCUGCCUCCAAGUUCCUGUCUUGAGUUCCUACCCUGACUACCAUUUACAAUGGGUGGACUUAUGUCACCUGAGGUUUGACAGAGACCUUAGGCCUUCCUGAGGAGAGAGACUCCAGGCUUUCUGUGAGCAGGUGUUCCAUUGAGGCCCUUGGCAUCUGUUCAUCAACCAAGUGGGGACAAAGAGUGUGCUUCACUGGUAUGCAUCAGAAAGUGAGAGCUGUCAAUGAGAGUGCUGAGCUAAGAAGGAGACAUUACCAGAAAGACAUGUUUUGAGAUGUAGCCACCCUUGGAAACUCCCUUUUUGUCAGGAAGCACACGGGCUGUGCAUUCUGUCCAGUAUCUUCAUUGCGUCCCUUUACAGAUGGAAUGACUUAUGUCAGAAAGAGAACACAUCUCUCUGGUUGAACAUUCACCUUGACUGUUUACAUUUGGUCUCACAAAAGGCCAGGAAGCGAUCUGCCUUGACUGUUUAUUCUCAAGUUUUUCCUAAAAGAAUUUGAGGCUGAUUGAAUAUGCAACUCUGAAAUAUCUCCAGUGACUGAGAGGCUAGGAGCUAUUUGCCACUACUGUAAAUAAAGUUUUCCAAAUAAUAA